GGGGAGUGGAGGGUGAAUGGAAAUCAGAGAGAGAAGGAGCGAUUGAAGGGUGGAGGGGAGGAAUGAUAACUACAGAGGAGGCGAGGGGGGAAGAGGAGGAGGAGAAGAAGAGGAGAGCAGGAUUAUGGAGGUUAUGGUAGUAGGUGCCAAGGGCACCAGGUUUGUGUCAAGAACUGCAACGUCGCAACAGUUUCCUGUGUGUAUCAAGAAUGGUCCACCAACCAAAGGACAUCCAGUCAACUUGACACAACUGUAAGAAGCAUUGGAGUCAUUAAUGGUUCUAAGUUGUGUAUCCCCACAAGGUUCUGGUAACAGCUCUAUGAGCAAUGACAUGCGCUGGCUACAUAACCAACAGACUACCCCUCGGUGUGCGUCGACACCAUGUGUGCCA
ensembl:lncRNA